GGGUGGUUAGCUCAGCUGGUAGAGCAUCGCCCUUACAAGGCGAGGGUCACAGGUUCGAGCCCUGUACCACCCA
rnacentral:tRNA from 1 species